CUGUGUCCGUCCGUCCCUAUGCUUGGCGUUUCUGAUUUCCCGGGAUGCUUUGCGAGCGCCACUUCUCUUCCGGUUUGGCUUCCAAGCUGUAGUGGCGGCGGAGGUUUAAGCCAUGGCCAAGUCCAAGAACCACACCACCCACAAUCAGUCUCGCAAGUGGCACAGAAAUGGUAUUAAGAAACCCAGGUCAAAUAGAUACGAAUCUCUAAAAGGGGUCGAUCCUAAGUUCUUGAGGAACAUGCGCUUUGCAAAGAAACACAACAAAAAGGGGCUGAAAAAAAUGAGAGCCAAUAACGCUAAAAAUGCCAAGUAACCAGCUCAUCUUUGAACACCAAAAGGGACUGAGUUGCUAGGAACUUGGAUCAGCAGUUUCUUUUCCUUCUCUUCAUUUUUAUUCCGAGCAUUUUGUUUAAAUAAAACUGAAAUGCACAGGUGUAAA